UGGGGAAUAUUGCACAAUGGGGGAAACCCUGAUGCAGCGACGCCGCGUGAGUGAAGAAGUAUUUCGGUAUGUAAAGCUCUAUCAGCAGGGAAGAAAAUGACGGUACCUGAGUAAGAAGCCCCGGCUAACUACGUGCCAGCAGCCGCGGUAAUACGUAGGGGGCAAGCGUUAUCCGGAUUUACUGGGUGUAAAGGGAGCGCAGACGGCUCUGCAAGUCUGAAGUGAAAGCCCGCGGCUUAACCGCGGGACUGCUUUGGAAACUGCAAGGCUUGAGUAUCGGAGGGGCAGGCGGAAUUCCUAGUGUAGCGGUGAAAUGCGUAGAUAUUAGGAAGAACACCGGUGGCGAAGGCGGCCUGCUGGACGAAAACUGACGUUGAGGCUCGAAGGCGUGGGGAGCAAACAGGAUUAGAUACCCUGGUAGUCCACGCGGUAAACGAUGAAUACUAGGUGUUGGUGCCCGAAGGGCAUCGGUGCCGUCGCAAACGCAAUAAGUAUUCCACCUGGGGAGUACGUUCGCAAGAAUG
rnacentral:rRNA from 1 species